CCUACGGGAUGCACCAGUAGGGAAUCUUGCGCAAUGGGCGAAAGCCUGACGCAGCAACGCCGCGUGGGGGAUGAAGGCUCUCGGGUUGUAAACCCCUUUCAGCAGGGACGAACACUGACGGUACCUGCAGAAGAAGCCCCGGCCAACUACGUGCCAGCAGCCGCGGUAAUACGUAGGGGGCGAGCGUUGUCCGGAUUUAUUGGGCGUAAAGAGCUCGUAGGCGGCUCGGUAAGUCGGAUGUGAAGCCUCCAGGCUCAACCCGGAGACGCCAUCUGAUACUGCCGUGGCUUGAGUCCGGUAGAGGGGCAGGGAAUUCCUGGUGUAGCGGUGAAAUGCGCAGAUAUCAGGAGGAACACCAGCGGCGAAGGCGCUGCUCUGGGCCGGUACUGACGCUGAGGAGCGAAAGCGUGGGGAGCGAACAGGAUUAGAUACCCGGGUAGUC
rnacentral:rRNA from 1 species